AUGGUUAUGGGCAAACACCUGGUCGCUGUCGGCAGAGACCUGAUCUUUAGGGGGCCGCAUACACUGACGCCGAGGGCGACGCCAUCGACGGGCAGUAACACCACCAAGUCGACCAUCAUCUCGGUGGUGAUAUGCGUCCUGUUCUUCCUGGUCGGCCUCUGCGGCUACAUCAACAAGUACUGCCGCCGCGUCGACGACGGCAGGGCCACGGCAGCAGCGCCGGUGGGAGGCAGGUCAUCCUCAGGGAGGAGCUCCAGGAAGCGCGGGCUGGAGCAGUCGGUGGUGGCGACGUUCCCGGUCAUGCCGUGGAGGGGCCACCACAAGAAGGACAAGGAGAAGGAGAAGACGGUGAUGGAUGAAGAGGAGGAGCGCUGCCCCGUGUGCCUGGCGGUGUUCGAGGAAGGCGACAACCUCCGGCUGCUGCCGCACUGCUCGCACGUGUUCCACCCGGAGUGCAUCGACCCCUGGCUGCAGGCUCGGGCGACCUGCCCCCUGUGCCGGGCCAACCUUGAGAGGCCGCUGCCGGCCGACGCCGUGGCGAUUGCGAUGCCGGCCGAGCGAAGCGACGACGACAACGUGGAUGACGGGAAGGAGGAGGAGGAGGCCAUGGAGCUCGAGAUGCUACGCACAGAGCGACGGGCGGCGAGGCUGCCAUCAGUCGCCACGGGGAAGCUGACACUGCCGGCUCCAGUAGAGCGCAUCGCUGAGAGAGUGUCUGCGGAGGACAUUAACAAGCCGCCGUCCAGCGUCGAUGUCAUCGGCCCAAGCUAG
rnacentral:rRNA from 1 species